AAAAAAUGCAAGAGCGGGAGAGAGUACAGAUGAGCACAGCAGAAGAUACACACAUUUUUAUUCUGGUGCAUCCCUCAUCAGAAGAAAGUUGGAGAAUGGCAGUGGUUGUUUCUGUUAGUCCAACGCUGAUGUGACUUAAGAAAACAAACUGUUUAUAAAAAGCAUGAGUACUAUUUUAACCACAUGUGAUAACUAGCUGGCCUAGUCAUUAUGGCUUGGUACCAGAAAUGCCAGGAUAUCAUCUUCUUAUUAUGAUUCAGUUCAUGGCUGGUGACAUUUAUACAACUUUGAGUUCAAGAGAGGAAAUAUUUCAUAGUAAACGGAGCAAGAAUGAAUCCCCUUGGAAUACUAAAGGAACUCUACCUGCAUCAAACACUUCCCGCUGUAGCCGGGAAAGACCAGAACUAGAUCGCUUGGAGCCCUUGUGAAUCCAUGGCCUGUCAGUAUCUAGCCUCUGGUCAAUAGGAAAAUCUGGCUCCAAUUAGAAGACCUCUGCUGGCUUUUUCUCCUUGCUUCAUCUUCCUCGCUAUUUCUUAAAACAAACAAAAAAAGUGCAUUUUCCCCCAUGUUCUGUGAGACCAUUACAUACACUGUUCUGGACUAAAUGCUGCUAUAAUGUUAUUCCAGCUGAUAACUGUUAGUAGGAGAGACCAAUACAAUACAGUAUGAGGUCAGCAGGUCAGCUCCA